GUAUAUGGCCAUGCUACUCUGAACAAGCCCAAUCCCGUCUGAUCUCGGAAGCUAAGCAGGGUCGGGCCUGGUUAGUACUUGGAUGGGAGACCACCUAGGAAGACCAGGUGCUGUAGGUG
rnacentral:rRNA from 1 species